rnacentral:misc_RNA from 1 species
CUCACUGGCUGRGGUGCAGCCGUGAGGGGUUCUCGUCUGUAGUGGACGAGGGCCGGGUGCGCGACAACGAACGAGCCAGACACACUAUUGGGUCCUGAGGCAACACUCGGGCUUGGCCAGAGCUGUUGUCCCACCAUCUUGGUGGUGGGGUGUGGUGUUUGAGAAUUGAUAGUGGUUGCAGAC